rnacentral:rRNA from 1 species
AUUGAACGCUGGCGGCAGGCCUAACACAUGCAAGUCGAGCGAGCGGCGGACGGGUGAGUAAUGUCUGGGAAACUGCCGGAUGGAGGGGGAUCACUACUGGAAACGGUAGCUAAUACCGCAUACCAUCAGAUGUGCCCAGAUGGGAUUAGCUAGUAGGUUGGGUAACUGCUCACCUAGGCGACGUUCCCUAGCUGGUCUGAGAGGAUGACCAGCCACACUGUAACUGAGGCACGGUCACGACUCCUACGGGAGGCAGCAGUGGGGAAUAUUGCACAAGGGGCGCAAGCCUGAUGCAGCCAUGCAGCGUGUGUGAAGAAGGCCUUCGGGUUGUAAAGCACUGUCAGCGGGGAGGCGUUACCCGCAGAAGAAGCACCGGCUAACUCCGUGCCAGCCGCCGCGGUAAUUC